rnacentral:rRNA from 1 species
GACGAACGCUGGCGGCGUGCUUAACACAUGCAAGUCGUACGGUAAGGCCCUUUCGGGGGUACACGAGUGGCGAACGGGUGAGUAACACGUGCGUAACCUGCCCACCACUUUGGGAUAACGCUCGGAAACUGACUCUAAUACUUGAUAUGUGCUCCUGCUGCCUGGUUGGGGUUGGAAAGCUCCGGCGGUUGUGGAUGGACUCGCGGCCUAUCAGCUUGUUGGUGGGGUAGUGGGCUGCCAAGGGGGCGACGGGUAGCCGGCCUGGGAGGGUGAGCGGCCACAAUGGGGCUUGGAAACGGCCCAAGAGCCCACGGGGGGGAGGAGGGGGGAAUAUUGCACAAAGGGGGCAAGGCUGGUGCAGCAACGGCGCGGGGGGGAUGAAGGGCUUCGGGGUGGAAACCGCUUUCAGCAGGGACGGAGCUUUUUGUGACGGUACCUGGAGAAGAAGCACCGGCUAACUACGUG